rnacentral:hammerhead_ribozyme from 1 species
AUUUAGCAGAUGAGUCCCAAAUAGGACGAAACAUGAGUUUUGAAU